UACGUAGGGGGCUAGCGUUGUCCGGAAUCAUUGGGCGUAAAGAGCGUGUAGGCGGCCAGAAAAGUCCGCUGUGAAAACUCGGGGCUCAACCUCGAGCUGUCGGUGGAAACUUUCUGGCUAGAGUCCGGAAGAGGAGAAUGGAAUUCCUGGUGUAGCGGUGAAAUGCGCAGAUAUCAGGAAGAACACCCGUGGCGAAGGCGGUUCUCUGGGACGGUACUGACGCUGAGACGCGAAAGCGUGGGGAGCGAACAGG
rnacentral:rRNA from 1 species